rnacentral:rRNA from 1 species
UAGGGAAUCUUCCGCAAUGGACGCAAGUCUGACGGAGCAACGCCGCGUGAGUGAAGAAGGUUUUCGGAUCGUAAAACUCUGUUGUAAGAGAAGAACAAAUUGUAGAGUAACUGCUACAGUCUUGACGGUAUCUUACCAGAAAGCCGCGGCUAACUACGUGCCAGCAGCCGCGGUAAUACGUAGGUGGCAAGCGUUGUCCGGAUUUAUUGGGCGUAAAGGGGGCGCAGGCUGCUUCUUAAGUCUGAUGUGAAAGCCCACGGCUUAACCGUGGAAGUGCAUUGGAAACUGGGAAGCUUGAGUACAGAAGAGGAAAGUGGAACUCCAUGUGUAGCGGUGGAAUGCGUAGAUAUAUGGAAGAACACCAGUGGCGAAAGCGACUUUCUGGUCUGUCACUGACGCUGAGGCCCGAAAGCGUGGGUAGCAAACAGG